rnacentral:rRNA from 1 species
GGUUGGGGAUGGGCUCGCGGCCUAUCAGCUUGUUGGUGAGGUAAUGGCUCACCAAGGCGUCGACGGGUAGCCGGCCUGAGAGGGUGACCGGCCACACUGGGACUGAGACACGGCCCAGACUCCUACGGGAGGCAGCAGUGGGGAAUAUUGCACAAUGGGCGAAAGCCUGAUGCAGCAACGCCGCGUGAGGGACGACGGCCUUCGGGUUGUAAACCUCUUUUAGCAAGGAAGAAGCGAAAGUGACGGUACUUGCAGAAAAAGCGCCGGCUAACUACGUGCCAGCAGCCGCGGUAAUACGUAGGGCGCAAGCGUUAUCCGGAAUUAUUGGGCGUAAAGAGCUCGUAGGCGGUUUGUCGCGUCUGCUGUGAAAUCUGGGGGCUCAACCCCCAGCCUGCAGUGGGUACGGGCAGACUAGAGUGCGGUAGGGGAGAUUGGAAUUCCUGGUGUAGCGGUGGAAUGCGCAGAUAUCAGGAGGAACACCGAUGGCGAAGGCAGAUCUCUGGGCCGUAACUGACGCUGAGGAGCGAAAGGGUGGGGAGCAAACAGGCUUAGAUACCCUGGUAGUCCACCCCGUAAACGUUGGGAACUAGUUGUGGGGUCCAUUCCACGGAUUCCGUGACGCAGCUAACGC